CACUCCUGCGGGAGGCAGCAGUGGGGAAUAUUGGACAAUGGGCGCAAGCCUGAUCCAGCCAUGCCGCGUGAGUGAUGAAGGCCCUAGGGUUGUAAAGCUCUUUCACCGGUGAAGAUAAUGACGGUAACCGGAGAAGAAGCCCCGGCUAACUUCGUGCCAGCAGCCGCGGUAAUACGAAGGGGGCUAGCGUUGUUCGGAUUUACUGGGCGUAAAGCGCACGUAGGCGGACUAUUAAGUCAGGGGUGAAAUCCCGGGGCUCAACCCCGGAACUGCCUUUGAUACUGGUAGUCUUGAGUUCGAGAGAGGUGAGUGGAAUUCCGAGUGUAGAGGUGAAAUUCGUAGAUAUUCGGAGGAACACCAGUGGCGAAGGCGGCUCACUGGCUCGAUACUGACGCUGAGGUGCGAAAGCGUGGGGAGCAAACAGGAUUAGAUACCCCUGUAGUCCCA
rnacentral:rRNA from 1 species